UAUUGGCAAAAGCAUCUGGCCAGAUUGGAGAAGUUUCACCAAGACAGUGAAACAGGGAAAAGUCAACACUAUCAAAGGCAAAUGGAAAAGCCUGAAAGACGCCUUUAUCCGCCAUCGCCGCAAAGAAAGGGAGCAGAGGAGCGGAUCGUCCCCAGGCGCACGCUCCAGUUAUGUGCAUGCAGCACAAAUGUAAUUUUUGAUACCGUGCAUGGAAAUGCGGAGCACCGAUAGCAGCUGGGAACACAGCCAGGCGCAAGCUGAUGAGGAAGAGGACGAGGGCACAAUCAUGGACAGUGAGCCCGGACCAUCUAUGGGGCCAAUGAGUCCUCCAGGCCCCCCCCCCCACUCCGAGUUUCGUCAGCCCCAUGCAGACUGUCCAAGCCGUACCAGAGGCAAGUCGGCAGCCCUGACAUAAAAGGAGGAGAACAGAGAGGCAUGAGGACAGGCUAAUAGGCUGCCUGGAUGCCCUGGCACAUCCUGUGCCAAAACUUAGCAGUGAUGCCUAUUUUCUCCUCAGUCUAGAGGAGAAAAUGCUACAUGUGCCGAGAAAUCUUGUCACAAAAGUAAGGGAGGAGGUGACUAACAUCAUUGAUAAGUAUUGCAUCCCUUAUGAGAUAGCAACAUCUAUCAGUGCCCCACAGCAGGCCCCACAGCAGCCAGCACAAUAUGGGCAACAAUAUUGCCCACAAUAUGGGCCACAAUAUGGCACACAAUAUGGCCCACAAUUUGGCCCACUACAUCCCCAACAUGCACAACAACACCCUCACACAUAUCCAGCACACACAUACACACAAAGUAACAUACAACACCCUCUUGACACAUGGCAGACACAACACACAUCAUACCCAUAUCCCUCUUCAAGCACGGGCCCAAGCACCAUCACCACCACUGAAAUGCCACCCGCCAAUCAGUCUCGCGGAGCCAGAGAGACACGGCGGGAUCCCGAGGCGGAGUUUUCAGGGCCGCAAUAUGAAACCCUUUGAGAAACUUAGAAGAGGGAAAUUCUCUGGCUCAAGGGUUUUGGAGCCAAAAAGGGCACUUUUAUAUAGAAAAAUGUUUGUAAUAUUUUUAUGUUAUUUAUACUAAAUUGCUCCUUUGUUUGUAAAACAGA